GGCUCUGGACAUUUUUCUCUAACUGUGCACAACACCAGUGUACUCAGUGUGUUCCAGAAGAGUUGCCCUGGCAGGUGGAACAUGUGAGACCCACUCCCAGCCUCCUAUCCUGCGUAUUCCGUGACAACUCGGGGACCUGGCGGUAGAGAAGGUGCUCAGCCUUGGGCCCUGCACUGGCUCUGGCCAACCUUCCUCAGCCUGUGGUCAGCCUGCACAUUUUUCCUGGAGAGGGGCCAGUGUGUCAGGAGUGGGUUGGAGAGCACAGGCUUGGACAGAAGCAAGGAGAAGGAACGGGAAACUCUGGAUUUGGCAAAGAACAAGGAAAUGUUGGGAAAUCCUCACUGGCAGGGUCUCCACGAAGGUCAGAGGUCAGGACUAAGAUGGGAGCGGGUCCAGAGGGAGUCAGGAAACUUGUGCAGCAGAGCAGGGAACUGUGGAGCCCACAGCUAGAGGGCUGGUGUCACCCAGUGACAGCCCCCCCUGGGACACAGAAUUGCCCCCAUGACAGCCCCCCCGGGACAAGGAACUAUUCCAGUGACAGCCCCCACCUGGGACAUAACACCAUCCUGGGACACGGAAGCAUCUGGGGCACAGCACCGUCCCUGCAAUCGCCCGUUUGGGAUGAGCACCCUUGCAGGAGGCCAAGGCAGAUGAACAUUGUCCCCCGCCAGCCUCAAGCCUGCAUUUCGCUUUCCUUGUCAAGUGGACAAAGGGCCAAGCUUCCACACUGGAAAAAGAGAAUUCGAGAACCUGUGUUUCCUUUAUUUAUACAAGGGGGCUUAAAAAAAAAUUUCGAUGGAAUGUUCUUCACCAAAUAAGGCAAGGGGUAAUAUCCAGGUCCAGAGCUCUGAGAAAGCAGACUCCUUAGCCCAGCGGAGGUAAAGGCCACAUUCAUCUGCAGCAAUCCAUCAAGUGGGAGGGGCCAUAAAAUAGCGUGCAAAGCCAGACCCAAACCUCUUUGGCUCAAGGCUGAAAGAAGACACUAAAUAGCUCAGGGGUGGCCCCACACACUAAGAAUUAAAGCUCCAAAUUGUCUUCACUUCUCAUGCAGGGAACUGGUCACCCCCGGCCCCAGCUAGUAGCCUGGUGUAACACAACCUAGCUACAUCUGCUUAUGUACUUUUGUCCCUGUUCUCUUGUAACAGCUUUCCUCACCCUUGAGUUUUCUGAAGACUGUGAAAAAAAAUAUUUGCUCUAUCCCUCUCUAGAGCUGGCUUGCAUACAAUCCACUCUUCUGCCAAUUUGACUCUGUGUAUUUGUGGAGCACUACUAUCGAGAAAGUGUACCCCUUGUCCCCAUGAGUAAUAAACAUAUGCAUCAUCCCA